rnacentral:lncRNA from 1 species
UCCAAAAUUCUAAAACACCUAAAAAUCCAAUACAUUUUCCCAAAAAAAAAAAAAAAGUAAAAUAAGUAAGAACCAUUGGCAAUACAUGAACCUGAAAAAGAAAACUCAUAAACCACAUCGCUUCUAGAAACGCCUAAUUAGAUGUUACAACGGUCCCAGAACCUUUCUUCUAAGCAUAGUUAAUUUACCAAUGAGACUAAUGAAUGCUAAUUCUCAAAAUUUUACUAUCCAACUAACCAACUGAAGCCAAAUGCAUGCCAAAACUCCAUAUGGACCUGAAUUUAACUAAGCAGGCCAGAACAAAUACAGGUUAUGGGUAAAAGAGAUGUCUUACUGUGAAAAAUGACUGAAGAUCAACUAAAUAAUUCAAUGAACAAACUUAAAUCAAUAGUCAAUACAUUUACCAUCUCAGAAUCGACGGAGAAAACAUGGUGAUGGUUUUAAAAUUCAAGUGAAUAUGAUAUGAUAGUUUAUCCCAAAAAUACAAAUUAAAUAAAAAGAAAAUUGGGUUAUGCUCACCUUAAAGCUAAUGUCCACAAGAUGAUCAUCAAGGUGUUUAAAUUUGCACCAACAGGAGGCAUACAGGAUGGAGAUAUCCAAAAGCCAGCCUAUAAAAUAUCUAGAAGUCAGACUAUUUCUCAAAAUUGUAUAAGUAAUAUGUCUGGUUCAUUUAAAUGUAAUUAACUCUUUUUCUGGGUUUAAUAGUGUUUUUAUGUCCAUUUUCUUUCUACAAUUUUAUUGCUCUUGAAGGUAGAAUCAGAGUUUCUAACUCUCAACAUUUUGCUGCCAAGUUAAAAAGAUCACAAAAAUUAUUACCCAGCAUAAAGAAGUGGCAAUACUUGCCUGCGUGUAAAUAUUUCUUGGGUCAGCACCUGAAUUCUCAAAAACACAUUUUUUUCAACUUCGCCAGCACUAGAUAGUAGAUAGUCCUAGUAGCAUAGUGCUUUGAUCCAAUAUAAUUGCGAGCUGAAUUGACAGACAAUUUCGGCCAAGACUGAGAUAAUACAGAAAAACUGCAAACUUAAGGCUAUAUGCUAAACAUUCAGUUUUCAAUUACAAAAGAACUAAAACAUGCACCAGUAAGACAAUGGUUAAAUCUAACCUUAUGAAACUGUAAAAUAUAUUACGAUAUUAUGUCAGCUUAAAAGUUGGUAGAAAAUUCAAUGUUGAAUAUGCAAGCAUUUGCUAAUGUCGAUAUUAAAGUUGUGGGACAUAAUGAGCUUUUGGUGUCUCAAAAAACUUACAAUCAGCAUGGAGAGACAAAACUGAUUCAUUUUUUAUGUUACUACUGCAUAUUUAGCAAAGUAAAUUUUGAUUGUGUAUUUAUUACUAUCAUCAAGUGAAUAUGAUAUACACAAGGUAAACACUAACUAAUUGCCGUUUUCUCUUCAAGGUUUUCACGACUUCAGCAUUCGUAUAAAUAUUCAAAAGUACAACAUAAUUAGAUAGCUUUUCUGGUCCCAUCCCAUAAAAUUUCUUAACAGCAAAUUUCCCAAGCACAAAAUUCUUGUGAAUCCUACAAGCUGUAAGUAAAGCAGCCCACAUGUUUAUAGUAGGCCUGAAUGGAGCAUCUCUUAUCAAUGCAAAAGCUUCAUCCAGAAGCCCUUCUCGGCCUAAUAAUUCAAUCAUACAAGUAUAGUGCAUUGCUCUAGGUUUCACCUUGUAAUCCCUACUAAAUGCCUCUGCAUAAUCUCCAACAUCCACAAGCCCCCCAAAUUAUGAUAUUCCAAGAAACCAAGUUUCUUUCAGGCAUAGUGUCAAACAACCUAUGUGCAUCGAUCAUCAUCCCGCAUUUCACGUGCAUCAACAGCACCCUGUUUCUUAUAUACAAAUCUGGCUCAAACCCAGAAUUUAGCAUACAAUUAAACACCCUUUUGACACCUCUAAUUGAUUUCAAACCAAUGCAAGCACUAACCAAAGAAUCAUAAGUACUCCAGUUAACAUCAUUAUCAUCCUCGCAUGCCAAAAUCUCAAACAAUUGAAGAGCCUUACGGUACCUUUUGUACAAAACCAACAAUUAAUUAGAAAUACCGGUGGUGGCGACCUUUGGGCUUUCACCAUGCACUACUGGAGAGGCGGCGCCGGCAAGUGCGUGACAGAUUGAGAGUGAGAGAGAUGCACUAAAUAUUUCUAAUUAUUUGUUGAGAGCAAGGCUGUGAGAGAAGACUGAGAGAUUGAGAGCACCGUGGACCAUCGGAGAGGUGGCGUCGGCUAUGGCGACGGUGAGUGACAAGUGAGACUGAGAGAUUGAGAGCGAGGCUGUAAGCGAAGAUUAGGAAUUUAGGUUUAGGGGUUGAGU